rnacentral:rRNA from 1 species
CCAUCUGUGGUAUAACCUACCUAUAGGACUGGUAUGACUUCAGGAAACGGGAGCUUAUACCGGAAAAUAUAUUGAACCGCAAGGGUCCCUAGUGAGAUACGGUUUUGCUGUCACUUAUAGAUGGAUCCGCGCCGCAUUAGCUAGUUGGUAAGGUAACGGCUUACCCAGGCUGCGAUGCGUACCCGACCUGAAAGGGUGAUCGACCACACUGGAACUGAUACUCGGUCCAGACUCCUACCGGAAGCCACCCUAGGGAAUCUUCCGCAAUGGGCCAAAGCCUGACGGAGCAACGCCGCGUGAGUGAUGAAGGUCUUCAGAUCGAAAAACUCUGUUAUUAAGGAACAACACAUGUGUAACUAACUAUGCACGUCUUGACGGUACCUAAUCAAAAACCCACGGCUAACUACGUGCCAGCAGCCGCUUUAAUACGUAGGUGGCACGCGUUAUCCGGAAUUAUUGGGCCUAAAGCGCGCGUAUGCCGUUUUUUAAAUCUGAUGUGAAAGCCCACGGCUCAACCGUGUAGGGUC